AACGAACGCUGGCGGCAUGCCUAACACAUGCAAGUCGAACGAGACCUUCGGGUCUAGGGGCGCACGGGUGCGUAACGCGUGGGAACCUGCCCUUAGGUUCGGAAUAACUCCCCGAAAGGGGUGCUAAUACCGGAUAAUGUCUUCGGACCAAAGAUUUAUCGCCUUUGGAUGGGCCCGCGUUGGAUUAGCUAGUUGGUAGGGUAAAAGCCUACCAAGGCGACGAUCCAUAGCUGGUCUGAGAGGAUGAUCAGCCACACUGGGACUGAGACACGGCCCAGACUCCUACGGGAGGCAGCAGUGGGGAAUAUUGGACCAUGGGCGAAAGCAUGAUCCAGCAAUGCCGCGUGAGUGAUGAAGGCCUUAGGGUUGUAAAGCUCUUUUACCCGGGAUGAUAAUGACAGUACCGGGAGAAUAAGCCCCGGCUAACUCCGUG
rnacentral:rRNA from 1 species